CAGUGUCGCCCCUGUACAGUCACAACGGUUAGUUUUCGAAUCCUAACGGCUAGUUUCAGUGGGAUGAGUAUAUAUACCCAUCCCACUGCUUCUGGUCGUGCUGCUGAUGCUUCAGAUUUUCCAAAGCCAUUCCAAAGCCUCUCCCCAACCCUCUCUUUGUGAGAGUGAAGUGCUUAGUGCACAAUUUAGUGUCGGGGCUGUGUGAUUAAGAGCUUGAGAGUAGAUUAGAGCAAUCCUAACCUUGAGCACUUGCUGGGCUUCGUCGAUAUUCGUUGUGCAUUUGUUACUCUUGGAGGUGAAUGAAGCCUCCUAGACGGCUAGGCGUUGCCCGGCUAGCUCCCGUGCUUGUGGUGAGCAGCGGGACAGUUUGUAAGUUCUUCUUGCAGCUAGUGAAAUCACCCCUCCUUCAAGAGGUAACACUCUUGUUUGGAGAACGAGGGAAGGGCAAGCCAUUGGUGGCAAGCCGGUCCUUGUGUGGGCACCUCAACAACGUGGACUUAGGCCAGCCUUAGUGGCGACGCCGAACCACGGGAUAAAUAUUGUGUGCUGAUUUAUAUUCUUGCAAUAUUGUUGUUGAGGUGAUUGUAGGGAUUGUGGCUGAUCUACUUGGUGGUACUUGUGUUGCUGCAUAUAUUUGUUAUUCAGUGACUAAUAUAUUUGUAGGAAGCUAGGAAAUUUAUCUGAUCUAAAUUUCCUUGGUUGAAUUUUGAUUUAUACUAAGUUGCUCCUGCGCAGGGCGUCAGUGCCGCCCUCUAAGGCCGGCAGUGCCGCCCUCUAAUCUGAUAGAUUUUUGAGUUGAAACUUUGCAGAUUUGUCACUGGAUAUGUCAAGUACAUCUUCACCAAGUUUGAGCUCCGUUGGACUCACGGUUGCAGAAAGGUAGUGCCGCCCUCAAAGGGAGGCAGUGCCGCCCUGAGUUUUAGUUUUGUUGGAGCAUAAUUUUUUGCAGGCCUAUUCACCCCCCCUCUAGGCCUCCUCGGCAACAUUAACGUCCUUUCAAUUGGUAUCAGAGCAAGGCUCUCAAUUUCGGGCUUAACCGCCUUGAGAGACGAUGUCGACAAGUGAGGAGGUAUCUCUAGAACUUUUACUUUUAUUAGAUGGCUCAAAUUAUACAUCUUGGUCUGCUUGUAUACUUGAUAUUUUUAGGGCCAUGGGUCCUCAAAUAGAGCAGAUUGUAGAUGUAAGUAUUUCACCUCCUAGUGAUAAUUUGGACUAUCUAUCUAGAGAGGAAGUGAAAUGCUUACAAUACAAUGCUCAAGCUACUAAUGUCUUAUUUAGUGCUUUGAGUGAAGAUGUUCUUGAUGCCAUCAUAUUUGGAGAUGGUGAACCACUUGAUGAUGCUCAUGUCAUUUGGACCACGCUCAAAGAAAGAUAUGGCAGCUCCAAAUGUGAUGAGAAGUUGCUCUCAUUGGAGGAACCACUUGAGAGGUGCUCAACUUCACUGACAAAUGAUGAGCCUCAAGUGAUUCUCUCAAAAGGCCUAAUGGAUCAUACCACAUACACUUCCUUGCCAACACAUGACUUAAUUGAUGGUAAUGAAAUGGUUGGUGAGAACAAUGCUUUUACAUGUGGUACUUCUACUUCCUCUAGUUUUUGUUGUUCUAACAUUUUGAAGGAAGGAGAAGCUUGUGAUCGGUGGAGGCCAAAUGAUGAAUCCACCUCACCUACAAGCUCAACUCUCCAUGACACUUCUCCUGUGUGUUUCAUGGCAAAAGGUGAGAAGGUAAAAUCAAAAGCCAAACCUCCUUCACCUCCUAGUGACAUCUCUAGUAGUGAUCUUAGUGAUAGCUCUAGUGAUGAUGAAUCUAGUGAUGAAGAUAUUGAUGACAUAAUUAAAAAUUUGGAUCCUAAGACCAAACUCUUCAUCUCUAAACUAAUGGAGGAUUUAGAGAGCACCCAAGCUGAACUAGCAACUAGAGAUGAUGAUCUUAUUGCACAAGAAAACAUUUAUAUUGCUAGUAAGGAAGCUCUUGCAUUAGAGAGAAAUGAGGUGGCCUCCUUGCACAAGGCUUUGGCUAAAGAGCAAGAUGACCAUGCUCUCACAAAGAAGACAAAUGCUGCACUCAACCAAAAGUAUUGUGGCUUAGAUGAAAAGCACAAAGAGCUUGAGCUGCAAUAUAGUCUUCUUUGGGAGAGCACCUCAAAUCCCUCUAAGGCAAAGGAUGCCUCUACUCCCUCCACUAGCCAAGGUUGUGAAAAAUGCUUUAAUCUUGAUUUGAAUAUUUAUGCCACUAACCUUACUAAUAUGGAGGUCAUGAGAAAGGAGAUUGCUAGACUCAAUGAAAUCAUAGCAGCAUGGUGCAUGAAUGACAAAACUCAAGAUGCUGGAAAGAAAAUUGUGAAUGGCUUUGAAUGUGUGCAGUUUGAGAGGAGGGAGCAGUUUGGUACAGUUCAGCCUGCACAGACCGCGGUAGUGCCGCACCCCAAGGGCGGUAGUGCCGCGCCCCGCAAAAAUGGGAAGGCUACCAAUCUGUCUCUUGAUCAAACUAAGCUCAUAAUGAAAAAGCCUAGGCAGAACAACAAAGCUCCCAAGGCCAUCAAGGUGCAGCAUCAACCAAAGAAGACUCUCAUCACUUGCUUCAAGUGCAAGAAAGAGGGUCACCAUGUGAAAGAUUGCACCUUAAAGAAAGAAGAGAAGAGCAUGAGCAGGAUUCAAGAGAAGAAGAAGAUGGCUCAUGUCAAGUCCUCUAGUAUGGAACAUAAUGCUUUUGUGUGUUCCAACAAGGUUGAUGACCAAGCCACACUUCUAAAGAACAAGACAAGAAGAAGCAAGAGGAAGUGUUAUGAAUGCAAUGAGAAGGGACAUGAAAUUUACUCAUGUCCCAACAAGAAAAGUGAAGGUUUAUCAUCGUCAACAAAGAGGCUCUUUAGCAAGGUGACAAGCAAAAUGCAAGAAAAGAAGGCUAACAAGAACAAGAGCCGCCUAUGCUACACUUGUAGAGAAAAGGGACACCUAAGCAUAAAUUGUCCCACGGGUAACAAUAAUCCUAAGCUCAACUCAUCAAUUGAUUCAAAUAUGCUUAUGAGACCUAAAAAUGACACUUGUGCUAGGAAGGUGAUUGGUUCACCAAGUGGUAGCACAAAGGCCAUUUGGGUACCUAAGUCUCUUGUGACUAACCAUGAUGGACCCAACAUAGUUUGGGUACCAAAUUAUGCUUGAUGAGUGUUGUAGAUACUUGAAGGUGAUAUGAUGCUUCGGGGUGCUUGAGCAAGUUGAUUGAAAAUAUUCACUCAAGCUAUCAACCAAUUCAUAUUGCUUCUUCUUAUAUGGUUGACCCGAAGAUAAAUUAAUGGAAUUAUUUCAAACUUCAUAUUCACCUUGGUAACUAGUACCUAACCCUUGCUAGCUAGCCAUUUGACUUGUGUAGUCUCUGGUAGUUCACAAGUAUGUGUGUAUUUGUGAAUUAUCAAGAGUGGCUAGAGUAUUUCAACUUAAAUGAAUCAUUUGUCAUAUGAUGCUUUUAAUGGCUCUCUAGUAGGGCAAGAUCUUGUUCAUGUUGUAGGUAAUGAGGAAUCACCUUAUGAGGUAAUCAAGAAAAUAGCCACUGAUGAUAUGAGACCAAAGAAGUUCAAGUAACAGUGAUAAGGAUAUACUCAAGCUGCUGCUGCAUCAAUCCGCUGACACCUCUGAUGCGGUAGUGCCGCCCCUCAGAGCGGUAGUGCCGCCCCUAUAUAGAUAGCAGCAGCUGACAUCAGUCCAAAACAUGGAUGAAGCCUACAACAUGAUGAUGAGCAAAGUGAAAAUGAUGAGACCACCUCAUCCAUUAUAUCUCAAGAAGGGUGGUAACAACAAUAUCUCAAGUGCAAUUAUUUUAAAACUAAACUCCUUUGUGUCUUGUGUAGUCACUUAGGAUAAAUGAAGCACUUGGAGAUAUUCAUUGGUUGCUGGUCAUGAAAGAAAAGUAUGAUUGGAAUUGAAUAGAUCAUCCACACCAAGCAACAUAGAUGACUUUAAGGAGUUUCCUCUGUGGACCUCAAACCAAGAAUUUCAAGAAAGCUCAAGUAGAGGCGCUUAUUGUUCACAACAUGAACUCUCUACUUGAUGGAAUCUAGUCAUAUGGUAGAUCGCCCAAAUUCUCAUUUUCAUCUUAUGGGCAUCUACAUGCUGCAAUGGUUGUGAGUAUCUCUUGGCAUAUUUCAAUUACACUAUUUGUUGCCAUGACCUAGACUUAGAGUAAAAUCCCAAGUUCUUAAAUGAAUAAAGUGUUAUAUGAGAAAUUCAAAUACUUAGAGCACUUAUCAUAAGGGAAUUUACUCUAUGACUAGAGUUGUGAGACUAACCAUUUCUCUAAGUGAUUCAUGUAGUCUCACUAAAUGAGAAUGUGUUUCUCAAAUGGAGUGUGCUGUUAUAUGAAGAUCAUUAUUCUAAAACCAUGUGAUAUAUUCUCUCUAGCUAUUUUGGAAUUGAUUCAUCUAUGAUUAGCCACUCAUCAUAAUAUGGCUUAAAUCUGCCCUUUGGACUUAAUUGAUCAAUCAUGCACAUUCAUGUUUCCAUUCCACUCAAAAGAGUGUGUAUGAGACAUCAAGGGAGAUUUAGUCCAUAUUAUGAGGUUUCUCUAUUUAGUGACCCAUUUGCCUUCCACAUAUAAAGGGUUACUAAGUGAGAAACUAGUGCUUGUGUUUCUAAUGACCUUUUUGUGUUGAGCUUGCAUAGGAAAUCAAUAAAAGGUUAUUGUUGGCUAAAUUGAAGAAUUCACAAGCUUUAAGGUUACUCUCCACCUAAAGUAAGAUAUUGCUGCUUCAUAUUGAUCAAAAUCUGAAUUUGAAUGAAAUCAAGUUUGAGGGUUAAAUUGGAUAAGCUAUAUUAGAAGAAUUGACAAGAUGACAAGUAUUGAUAAGAGGACUGCAUGGAAAUUGCAUCUUGUGAGUAUUCUCAACCAAAUCCACCUCAAGAUUGGACAAGAAGCAAAGAAGAGUUGUGAAAUAUCAAAUCUGUCUAGAAAUUUGAAAAUCUGAAUUGGCUGCCUUCAAGCAUGGAUUUGGAAGUCCAAACACUGAUGAAUUGACCUAAAACUUUGUGAGCAUGACACACUUAUCUAAUACUUGUUGCUUUACAGUUUGCAUGAAGAUUGGUUAAGAAGAAAAUCAGUUUUGAGUUGAAUUCUGUCAGCUUCAGCAUUGCAGAUUCAGACCAUAGCAGUUUUGGUAGAAAAAUUCUUUGACUGAUUAAAUGGGAUCCAAAUGAGCUGAAAUUUAUACAGUAGUUAAAGGACUCAUAGAUGAAGACCUCUACAAAAUUUCAUGCAUAUUGGGCUAGUAGUCUGAGAGAUAUGAAAUUUUCUCUGAGGAUGACAGAAUCUAAAAACUAGCAGUUUGAAAUUGGAUUGCAGUAUAACAACAAGAUUCAGUUGGCUCUCAAGUUGGUCAUGAAAAAUUUAUUGAAAAUGAGCAGCAUAAGUUUGGAUAAAGAAGUUUCAUUGGAAGAAGAGAACUCAGACAAGGAUCCAAACAAAUUGCAAUCAGAUUACAAGCAGUAGCAAAUAAUUGCAAUUAGUUGUUAGAAGAAUUCAAAUGCAGUCUUUCAGAAACAGCAGCUAAGAUCAGUUGAAACUUGAUGAAACUAGUUGGCUUCAGCAGUGACAAGUAGCAAACAUGAGUUACAAUCAGAUGGUACUAGCUGAAAUCAAUUGGAAGCAACUGAAACUAGCUGAAACUAAUUAGAUUACAGCAGCCUGAAGGAGUUUGAAACCAGUUGGAAUGCAGUGUAAACUUCUCCCUUGACCUUAUGGUAUUGAUAUGCAUGAGUGUACUCUGUGUACUCUUGUAUGCACACAUUAAGGGGUAGUUUAGACUAUAUCUUGUGAGACUAUUGGUUUCUUUCAAGUGUAUGUUGUGCAGUCCCACACAAUGAAAAAGGAAGAUGGAUGAUUCCAAUGGAUUCUCUAAGUGCUUCACAAUUAUUCUAGGAUCUUGGUUUUUAUAAACCAGGUGCUCCCAGUUUAAUGUCGAAUGCCCCAAUCCUUAGUGGAACUGAAUUUGAAUGAGUUGGAGAAAAUAAUUGAAGAAUGAGCUUUCAUGACUAUUUUUCCUCUCUAGAGCUCUCAAGUGUUUACGACUCAUCUCAUUGAUUACCCAGGAUCUUGUCAACAAAGACUGGUAACUCCUAGUUCAUAAUUUGCAAAUUUCAUGAAUUUUACCUUUUGCUCUCUAUGUGGGUUGCCUUAGGUAAAGAAAGAACUAGGAACAUAAUUUGUAUCUUGGAUGAUCACAAGAGCUCUAAUUCACCACAUGUCAUCAAUUGAGAAAUGCAUGGCCAUCGAAAUCUUUUGAGUCUCACUUAUGAUGGUCAUAUCAAUGAAAAUCUAUGUGGUGAUCUAUAUACCUUGGUGGUGGUAUGUUUUCUUGGCACAAUUUCAAUUGUUGUAAACUUAUGAUACCUUGACCAAGGUAUAGGAUGAACUCCUCUUGACUCUUAAACCGAUUCAAAUGCACUUUGCAAGUAAUUUGAGUACUUGCUGCAUAUAUUAAGGGGGAGUCCAUUCUAUGUCUUGUGUCUUUGAGACUAACCUUUUCUUCUAGUGAAUUUGUGUAGUCUCUUGGUGAGAAUGAGCUUCUCUUGGGUAUGCUACAUUAACUCAAUCCAAAUGGGUAAAGUUAUCUCUCACAUUUACUUGGAUUGCAAUUUUACCACUUAAGUAGCUACUCUCCAUAAUAUAGCUUAAAUUGCCUUAUUUGGACUUAAUUGACCAAAAGUGCAUAUGUUCUUUCCUUCCACACACAUAUAUGUAUGCACUAUCAAAAAGGGGGAAUUUAGUCUAUGUUAUGAGGUUUUGCAAUUAGUGACUUACAUGCCUUCCACAUCCAAAAGGUCACUAGUUGUGAAACUCUAGCUUGUGCAAUUUGAUGUUAUCUCUUGUCUUGUGAGCAUUACCUAGGUGACAAUAUGAGAUACAAGCAUCCCAUCCAAUUGGCAUCAGCUUUUGAAGAUUCCUUCAAUUGGUGUCAAAAUUGUGAAGAUCAUAUUUCAAUUGGUAUUGGUGGAUAAUCUUUCAACCUGUCAUAUCAAGAAAUAUGCCUUCAAUUGGUAUCUCAAAAUGACAACAAGAGCUGGCAAUGGACUUUCCACUGAAAUCAAGCACAAGUUUAUGAUAUUUCCUUCAAGAUGAUGAUCAAGAGAGAUGGGCAUAAAUGAAGUAUUUUGCAUUUUGCCAAGCCCAUCAAAGCACUAAAUUCAUAAUAUCAUGAUCACAGUGGAGAUUAUGAGGUUUAGAACAAAGGUAUAUCGCUCCAUGAACUCUAGUAUUACCUUUGUGCAUCUAGGCCCUUACAUGCUAGUGUGUGCAUGUGUAUGCAAUAUUUGAGCCACACCAUGAGUUUGUUCUUAUGGUGACGAUUAGAGAAUGAUUUAGAUAUUUGGCUGAUACCUCUGUGGUGAUAAAGUGAGUUUGUCUCAUGUUAAAACUAUCAUCUAAGUGAGGUAUGGGCUAAAUAUGCUAACUUCUCAAGAAUCUUGACUUAAGGUGUUGCAUACUUGGUUUGGUAGAAAACUUAGGAGAGAAAUCCUAUAUGCUAAACUUUUACCUACCUCUUGCCCUCAUUUGUCUACCAUUAUUUCUUCCUUUCGGUUGAGAGAUCCUUUUUGGAGAUUAAUGCCAAAGGGGGAGAAAUAUUGGGAGAGAGUGUAAGGGAGAAGAGAUUGAUAUGUGGAUUGAAAGGGGUAAAGGAGAGGCAUAUAAGAUUUUUCAAAUUUUUGUGUGGUGUGUGCAAGGAUAGUUUAUGCUUUUGAUAAGGACCACUUAUGCUAGUGUGAUGUUCAUGCCUUGAGUAGUGGUUGUCUUUACUUCUAGGCUGUUCUGGCAAGUGCGGCAGUGCCGCCCUUAGCUAGCUAGCAAACUUUGAGUGCUUGACCUGCCAUGAGCAUCAUGUUUAUCAUGUUGACACCUUGCACCCCACGGAUGCUAAGACAUAGAAGAGUUUCCACACUUCAUCUUGAAUAUGUGCAUUUGGCAUUUGAGGCCAAAACAUGAAAUUCUACUCUAUGCACAUAUUUAAGGGGAGCUCACUAUAUCAUAGGAUUCAAAAUCUUAAUGUUUAUCAAUCUCUUGUAAGCUUUAAUUGUGUUGUCAUCAAUCACCAAAAAGGGGGAGAUUGAAAGUGCAUCUAGCCCUUUGUGGGUUUUGGUGAAUUGAAUGACAACAUGAUUAAAGGUCUAAUAAGUUUGCUAAGUGUUGAACAGGAUAUUGAGUCUAUUGCACAUACUUGUGGAUUGUGUAUUAACAAGUAUGUUCAAGGCUCAACAAGCAGGCAAACUUAAUGAUAUGCCACAUAGUGUUGAAAUGAAGGCCAAAUUGUGUAUUGUCGUAUUAGAGGAUUAUGGAAACAAUCUAGGUCAAGCAAAAGACAACAAUGCAAAUAAAAUCUAUGGAAUGGCUUAUAUGCUGUGGGAUAUCAUAACAUCAUGAGAAAGCAAGCAUAUUUGACAAAUGGCAAAAGAGACAUGUGUUGAUGUUCUUGGAUUGGUCUCUACAAUGGCUUGCUUUUCAUGAACAAGAAGAGCUUGAUAAUGAACUAGGUUUGAUCAAGCUAGAAGUAUGAAGAUAAAGAUUGAAGUGAGUAUUGAGUGUCAAGCCAAAAUAGAGAGGAUAUAAGGAACUGUGAAUUGGCUUGACCAUAUUGAUGUUGAUCCAUAUAUGUCUCUAUGUGAGUCAAACUGAAUCUUGAUUGAUCUCAAUAUUUAUAUCUAGAAGAUAUUCAAGCAAGAAUCACAAUAUUGAAGAAAUGAUUAUUCAAUGGAUGCUUAAUGUGAUAUGACUUGAGUAUGGCUUGAUAAGGUGAAGAUAGCAAGGAAAGGGCUUCGAGGGACUAAGCGAAGGUGAAGGGAUAAGCGACGGCUUAAGGACCGAGGUACCAUGGCUAAGGUGAAGAAGAGAGUACUUGCAUUGAGUCGAGGAACUAAUCAAGCUAUGAGGAGUCAUAUUGUGUUGAGAAUCAAAUAAUUAGUAGAAGUGACUUGAAGCCAUAGAGGUGAACUCAUAUGUGUUGAAAUGGGUCAAGUCACAUGCUCAAGGUGUGUUUGCUCAAGAAACGGAGACAAAGUUGAUUGCACCCCUUUAUGGAGUAAUAUUGAGAAGAAAUGGCAUAUGAAGACAUUGAAGACUCAAGUGGUUAAAUUAGUUAUAUUCUCUUGUUCUUGAUUAUAGGUAUGCCGUACUAUCAAGGGGGAUGCAAUACGAAUGAUAGACAAGUCUCAAGUGCUCAAACUAACCGAACCCAAGUGCUAACAUGAGAGAAAACACUUAGCACUGCACCUGCACAAGUUGAUCUUGGAGUUUGUUCUCUGCAGGGUUGGAUAGCCCUUGAAACAAGCUUUCCGAAAAGUCCAAGAUCACAGCAAACGGAGUUCGGAGUAAAAAGUUAUGACUUUUUCCGUAAGGUGACCUGUGCUGUUUUUAUAAGGGCGGCAGUGCCACCCAUGAAGGGCGGCAGUGUCGCCCCUGUACAGUCACAACGGCUAGUUUUCGAAUCCUAACGGCUAGUUUGAGUGGGAUGAGUAUAUAUACUCAUCCCACUGCUUCUGGUCGUGCUGCUGAUGCUUCAGACUUUCCAAAGCCAUUCCAAAGCCUCUCCCCAACCCUCUCUUUGUGAGAGUGAAGUGCUUAGUGCACAAUUUAGUGUUGGGGCUGUGUGAUUAAGAGCUUGAGAGUAGAUUAGAGCAAUCCUAACCUUGAGCACUUGCUGGGCUUCGUCGAUCUUCAUUGUGCAUUUGUUACUCUUGGAGGUGAAGCCUCCUAGACGGCUAGGCGUUGCUCGGCUAGCUCCCGUGCUUAUGGCGAGCAGCGGGACAGUUUGUAAGUUCUUGCAGCUAGUGAAAUCACCCCUCCUUCAAGAGGUAACACUCUUGUUUGGAGAAUGAGGGAAGGGCAAGCCAUUGGUGGCAAGCCGGUCCUUGUGUGGGCACCUCAACAACGUGGACUUAGGCCAGCCUUAGUGGCGACGCCGAACCACGGGAUAAAUAUUGUGUGCUGAUUUAUAUUCUUGCAAUAUUGUUGUUGAGGUGAUUGUAGGGAUUGUGGCUGAUCUACUUGGUGAUACUUGUGUUGCUGCAUAUAUUUGUUAUUCAGUGACUAACAUACUUGUAGGAAGCUAGAAAAUUUAUCUGAUCUAAAUUUCCUUGGUUGAAUUUUGAUUUAUACUAAGUUGCUCCUGCGCAGGGCGUCAGUGCCGCCCUCUAAGGCCGGCAGUGCCGCCCUCUAAUCUGAUAGAUUUUUGAGUUGAAACUUUGCAGAUUUGUCACUGGAUAUCUCAAGUACAUCUUCACCAAGUUUGAGCUCCGUUGGACUUACGGUUGCAGAAAGGCAGUGCCGCCCUCAAAGGGAGGCAGUGCCGCCCUGAGUUUUAGUUUUGUUGGAGCAUAAUUUUUUGCAGGCCUAUUCACCCCCCUUCUAGGCCUCCUCGGCAACAUCAAGGUCCUUUCAGGAGGCACCCGGCCACGGCGGCGCUCACCGUGACGGCGCUGUGGUGCACGGGAGGCCGUGCCGAGGGCACCAGCGUGCUCGUCCCGGCAAGGCGAGCGCGAUGCGCGCGUCUACGAGGACAGGAAGGAGCCGGGAAGGCGCGUGCGCGUGGCGGGGCGGCUCGGCGGCGUGAACGAAACUUCGGCGAGGUUAUGCGGCGCGCAAGGAGGGAGAUAUAGAGCGAGAGGAGGUGCCGGGGCUUCCUCACCUUGCUGCGAAGGUCGUGGCGGCGUCGUUAUUGGCUGAGACACCGGGAAACGGAGAUCGACGGCGGCGGCUUGGACCUCGGGGAUGGAGGCUAUGUCGGCGACGCGAUUAGGGCACGGAGUGGCGGCGACGCUCGAUUAGGGUUCGAAGGGGGCGCAGGGGGUUCGGCAUGGCCGUCUUAUAGGCGCGGCCAUCCUCGGUUCGCGUGUGGGCGCUCGGAUCGAGCGAACGGCGGCGGUGGCUCACCCCGCGCGAUGCGGGCGGGAGGUUAGGGACGUCCAGCGCGGCUGACAGGUGGGGUCAGGGCGUCAGCGGCACAGUGCGGGCUGGCAGGCGGGUCCCACGUGGCAGUGGCUCGGGGCGCAGCGGGCGAGCGGGGUCCGCCUGGCAG
rnacentral:lncRNA from 1 species